rnacentral:lncRNA from 1 species
CUGACAGCAAGCUUUCUAACUCAGAAUGAUUCAUGUAAGACACCUGAAAGGCAAGCUCUGCACCAGCAUCACUGCAAGAAAGAUUGAACAAUGCAGCAAUCAAGCCUGAUAAGCCACCUGGAAGUUUUGCUUGAGACGAUUUCUAAUGGGUUUUCUGAUCCCUCUGAGCAUCAUGACUGCCUUUAGCAUUGUGGAGGAGGACUCGAGUUUCUUAUGAGGGCCCCACUUGGAAAAGCAGGCUGUGCAGAUUCAAGCCUCCGGUUCUGUUCAUGCUGUUCAAAAGCCUUUCCUCACCCUUGCUGAUUUGUUUUUAUGAUUUACAUACACUCCUGUGGAGAUUUACAGAAUGGAUUGUCUGUGCAUUGUCACGACCAAGGUUUUGUGAAGGACCAAGAAUCAUCAAAGGUGGGGAGAUGAACUACAUUCCUGUGUUGGUUUGGUGGAGGAUGGAAAAAAGCCCUUCCUAUGGUGUAUGUUUAUUUUAUUUAUUUAUUUCACUUAUUUCUUUCUCCUCAGACUUAGAUUAAAAGAAAUAAAAAUCCACAGCUCUAUCA